rnacentral:misc_RNA from 1 species
GAUGAAGAACGCAGCGAAAUGCGAUACGUAAUGUGAAUUGCAGAAUUCAGUGAACCAUCGAGUCUUUGAACGCACAUUGCGCCCCCUGGUAUUCCGGGGGGCAUGCCUGUCCGAGCGUCAUUGCUGCCCUCAAGCACGGCUUGUGUGUUGGGCCUCCGUCCUCCUCCCGGGGGACGGGCCCGAAAGGCAGCGGCGGCACCGCGUCCGGUCCUCGAGCGUAUGGGGCUUCGUCACCCGCUCUUGUAGGCCCGGCCGGCGCUUGCCGACACAUCAAUCUUUUUUCCAGGUUGACCUCGGAUCAGGUAGGGAUACCCGCUGAACUUAAGCAUAUCAAUAAGCGGAGGA